UACGUAGGGUGCAAGCGUUAAUCGGAAUUACUGGGCGUAAAGCGUGCGCAGGCGGUUUUGUAAGUCUGUCGUGAAAUCCCCGGGCUCAACCUGGGAAUUGCGAUGGAGACUGCAAGGCUAGAAUCUGGCAGAGGGGGGUAGAAUUCCACGUGUAGCAGUGAAAUGCGUAGAGAUGUGGAGGAACACCGAUGGCGAAGGCAGCCCCCUGGGUCAAGAUUGACGCUCAUGCACGAAAGCGUGGGGA
rnacentral:rRNA from 1 species